rnacentral:rRNA from 1 species
UACGUAGGGUGCGAGCGUUAAUCGGAAUUACUGGGCGUAAAGCGUGCGCAGGCGGUUCGUUGUGUCGGCGGUGAAAGCCCCGGGCUCAACCUGGGAAUGGCCGUUGAAACUGGCGAACUGGAGUGUGGCAGAGGGGGUGGAAUUCCGCGUGUAGCAGUGAAAUGCGUAGAGAUGCGGAGGACACCGAUGGCUGAAGGCAGCCCCCUGGGCUAACACUGACGGCUCAGGCACGAAAGCGUGGGGAGCAACAGG